rnacentral:misc_RNA from 1 species
GAGUAACUACUGUGCACUUCAGGUUGGGAGACAAGCUUAAUAAAUUGCAAUUAUCUGUAGUUUAAAGUUGUUAGUAAAUCAGCAUGGUAAGUGGUGCAACUUGAAUAUUGAUUGCAGUUUGCAGCUGGAAAAAUAUAAUUGGGGCUGUACGGUUUAAAUAUGCAAACCUCCACACCUUGAAAAAAAGGAGUUCUUUCUAUCUGAUAAACUUUUGCUAGGAGCCUGAUGGAAUUCAA